CCUACGGGAGGCAGCAGUAGGGAAUCUUCCACAAUGGGCGAAAGCCUGAUGGAGCAACGCCGCGUGAGUGAUGAAGGCCUUCGGGUUGUAAAACUCUGUCAUUCGGGACGAACCGGAGUCUGAGGAAAUGCAGACUCUCUGACGGUACCGGAGGAGGAAGCCCCGGCUAACUACGUGCCAGCAGCCGCGGUAAUACGUAGGGGGCAAGCGUUGUCCGGAUUCACUGGGCGUAAAGCGCGCGCAGGCGGUGAUGUAAGUCUGAGGUGAAAACCCGAAGCUCAACUUCGGGACUGCCUUGGAUACUGCGUCACUUGAGGAUAGGAGAGGCAAGGGGAAUUCCACGUGUAGCGGUGAAAUGCGUAGAGAUGUGGAGGAACACCUGUGGCGAAGGCGCCUUGCUGGCCUAUUUCUGACGCUGAGGCGCGAAAGCGUGGGGAGCAAACAGGAUUAGAUACCCUGGUAGUCCACGCUGUAAACGAUGAGUGCUAGGUGUAGGUGGGCUCAUACCCAUCUGUGCCGAAAGCUAAACGCAUUAAGCACUCCGCCUUGGGGAGUUACGGUUCGCAAGACUUGAAACUUCAAAAUUGAAUUGACGG
rnacentral:rRNA from 1 species